rnacentral:lncRNA from 1 species
UUUUUUUUUUUUUUUUUAUGUUUUGUUGCUUACAAAGUUGGAGUUAGUAUUUACUUGCAUCAUAAACGCAUUUUUAAUCAAAUUUUUUUAUUAUAUUUUUAUCUUAUAUACAUCACAUCAUAAUCUAUACUACAGUAAUUAUUUCAAAAAAUUUGCUAUCCAAACACACGCUUUGAUUGUUAGCUACUGUUAUGCGGUCAUAAUUGUGAUGAUCCACCUAACACAAGGUGGCACUAAUCGUCUUUAUUAAAAGCAAGAUAACAACGUUCGAUGGUCCAUAAAACCGUAAUAAAAGUUGUAUUUAUUUGGAGUUAGUUGACAGUUGAGACUCAUUGUUAAACAUUAGCUGUCCGUUGUCUAUGGAUCUGAUUCUAUUGCCUUGAUCAAAGAGAAGGAUGCUUAUCAGAGUAACAGUACUCAGCAGAAGCAAAGCUCCAAAUUUCAGUCCAUUGAUAAUUAACGAUCGAAGAUGGACUGGUGUUUCUCCCAGAUUGUUCUCCAGGACAUGAAUCUUCUUUUAGCAUCCCAGAAAUCUUUUGUAACCUUUCUCACUCUGUCUUGGGCCAUUCUUGUGACCUUUCUUCUCUGCAUCGCAUGCUAAGCUAGAGUCCCGGUCCUGGUCUUCCAAAUUGGCCAUAGGCCAUACUAUUAUUCAUUAAUCAUUCAUGAGGUUCCUCCCGGCAAAGUUUAGAAGAAUCCAACAAACUUUUUAAACAUUAUGGAUCACGAGCAUAGCCGUGUGUCUUGCUCUAAAUGCAACAGGACUCUGAUUCCCCUGGAGGGUGAUAUUAGCUUCAUGAUUCUCAUCUUGCCUUCCUGAACCUGUAGAAGAUGUAAAACCAUGAUCUAACUUUUCAGAACCUGGAACUGUAGAUGAACUGAAGACAAAGUUUUGCAUUGAUCAUCCUCUUGUUUAACUUUUUGGACGACAGGAUUGUUCGAAUGUCUUGCUGACAGACUAUGCUUCUCUUCCAGAAGCUGCAGCUGCAUCAAUUAUAAUUUGUUGCAGUCAGGAAAAUGACCAGUUGUGCAAAUAUCUACAAGGAAAUUCAUAAGUACGUACCAAAAUGACACAAAAUAAAAUGAGAAAGUAGUUCUACUAGAUGUUGAAGCAUCUCGAUAAGAAACUAUAUAUGUAGUCGAAGGAAAAGAGAAAUUUAACAAAAAUUACGAAAAUGGCUAAUGAUUUACAGGGCGAUCAAGGCGGUCUAAUCUUGGGAGAACAGGGGUGGUUAAAACUUGUUCUUGCAUUUCUUGUUUGUCCAUGAUGUUCAAAAUUUGAGGCCUUGUCCAGGGCUUUGUUGUGAGGACUUAGGAGGUACCCAUGACCUUGACUACUUCCUAUCUUUCUAUAAACGGAAAGAUGUAGAAAAUAUAUCUUUGCAUUUUAUAAAGAUGGACUCACGGUUUGCUGUUCAGAUAUUAAUAGUUGUAUGUGUGAAUAAUGAGAAAACAAGAUGUGGACACUGGCUCUGAAGUGGUAGCUUGUAAGAAAGGAAGAUAUAACAUAAUAGUUGCGAUUUUUAAUACUACUAUUUGUCAAUCAAAGUAGUAGUAGUAGUAAAUGACAACCACCGCGCCACACCCUCUUGUCACGUUCUCCCUUCUUGAUUAUGGAAACUGGUAGCAGACUUCAGCUAUUGCUUAUUCUUAUCUGAUCUGAUGAUGGGCACUGAUCUCAUAUCUCUACCGUUUCUCCCAUGCCACUCGUUUCUUCCUCUAUCUCUCUCUCGAUCAAAGUAUCGAGAUUGGAGUUAUCUUUGUUAGUCAAAUGCCUGCAUGCUAAGUUCAAUAUUGCCUCAUUUUAGGCAAGGUGAACUUACUGGAUGCAUAUCGUUUCUACUUUUCUACUGUAAAUAGAUGAUGCACACAAGAAAAUGCUGCCAAAGGAAAAGAAAUCUAGAACCCUUUUAAAUUCAUUUCUUGUUAUUUGAACAAACAAGCCAAGGAAUCGUCCCAAUAAACGUCAGUUUUUUGUGAGGUGUAGUUACAUUCAAAAGGUAGCAAUGGUUGGAUGCAAAGACAACCAACCAAGUCUUGACUUGCAUUAAUUUUUUUUCAAAUGUCUGUGUCAGUUUAAAGAAGUUUAAUGUAUUCUACGUCAUUUAGGUUAGUGUUGUGAAGACAAUCUAAGAUGAAAAGUUUUCUCCCAUAAGCAAUUAAGGAACAUACGUCUCGAAGAAGAAAUUUGCAGUUGAUUAAUGGAUCGAUGCUAUGGAGUUUGAACCAACUGAAUCUUCUUCACUAUGUAACCAAUUUUGGCUUUUCGCUCCCUUCCUAUUGAAAAUGAUGGGAUAUUCCAAAGUCAUCCAUGGAAGGAUUCGGGCAUGCUAUGCCAUUUCCUAGGAGGGUUGGAAUCAGCACUUGUAUUGGAGGUAUCAUUAGGCAGAGUCAAUAACCAAGCACCACCAAUGCAUUUCCAUUUCCACGCCAACAUAGUUAAGAUGGUUCCUAAGAAAUAGGUAAAAACAAAUACUACAAUGGUGACACUUCACCGGAUCCCUCACACGACUUGACAAAGAAUUUCCUUAAUGAUUGUCCAAUUUGUUCUUACAGAGAAUCCAAACAUAUAAAGCCCUUGAUUCUCUUUGAACUCCCAACAAGGAUUAUAUCUAUAUGGUAUGAUAGCUAUUUAAUAGUAACAAGAUGACCUUUCUUUUAAAUAGAAGAAGAAGAAGAAGAAGAAGAAUGUGGUACAUCUCUUUCCUAGGAAGGUUUUACACAGAGGCCAUAUCCACUAGUUGUUCGGGCAUGUGCAGAAUUUCCUCUUGUAAAUUGGCAAACAUUACAAUAAUUUGAACGCUUUCUUCAAGAGUCUGGUGUCUGUGUUUCAAUUCAAAUUCGUGAAAAUUAAUGAUUGCUUGAACUUGGCUUUAAUUAUUUUGGAGAAACAGUGUAGAGUGUGUGUACUAAUUCAGAUUUCCUUAUUUUAUGGUUGAUAGCCAAAGAUGCAGAAUCAUCAUGAUUUAUGAGCUUUAUGAUCUCCAUCAAAAGCCUUAAUCAAGCCAAAUGUGACGGACAUAGAUAUCCAUCCUCCUGUUAGAACUCUCAUUGCAGAUAAUCUUAUGGGUGAACCGCCAAGAAGGGCUCCAAGUCCCCCAAACAACACCAGAGCAAUAGUUGUUACCACCAUUAUUAUCACAAUCCUGGUUCCGUAUUGAGAUAUCGCCACAGCAGCCACUAGGGGAACCACCGAUCCACAAAGAAAAGCCAAGGCUGAUGCUGCCGCAGCCUUGUAUGGAUUAGGCAGGGCCUCCUCUUUGCCAUCAACUUGCUUUGCCAUACUUGCUCUUGCAUCUGUUACCAUGGAGACAAUUUCCCUUGCGAUGACUCACUUUCGCUGGCCAGAUUUACAAAUGGAGAUCUGUUUGGUUCUGGCACAGAUGGAUGAGGAGUUAGAAAAUGGAUGUUGAUAUUAUCACCAACUUGCAGGUCGUGCAACUUACCAUCUGAACAAGUUUUGUGGAUUGUUGAUUUUUCGAUGUCCCUCUGGGUUGCGACAGAAACAAACUCUCCAACAGCCAUGCUGCAGGCACCUGCAAGAGCUACUGCAGUCCCCGAAAUGAUCAUGGACUCCUGAUCGUCUUUUGCUGCACCUAUUCUGAGCAUCAUGGAUGCAGCCGAAAGCAAACCAUCAUUGCACCAAGAAUGGCUGCUCUAAGCCAUUGAGCUCUCUGCAUUCCCUGUCGUACUUUUUCUUGUGUAGCUGUUACAGAAAGCUUAUUUGCAGAACCAGGUUCAAUUGACAUAGAAGCAGCUAUGUAAUGUAGACAAAGGUCGGAAACGGAGUGUGGUCUUUGACUGGAAAGCACACUUCCUAAUUCUUUACUUAAAGUCUGCAAACCACACUCUAAUCACGUGGAAGCAAUGUGCAUGUUGAGAACAUAUACAAGUAACCCACCCUAUCCAAUGUCGUCCAAGAAACAGAUUCCCUUAGGGGGCAUCGGUGAAGGCUCCAAAAAUUGAAAUGUCAAAUUAUAACAUCAAAGCCGAAGACAGCUCUGAAGAAGCCCAUGCUGUACUUAUACAAGCUUCGUGAGUGCAACUUUGUUAACUUUCUUAUUCUAUUUCUCCAAAAAUUACAGCAGCUAGAAUGAAAUAAAAAUGUAUACUAACACAAAUCAAUUCUUACAAAAACAGCAUCACUCUGACACAUAAAAUACCUUAAAUAUACAACUUACCCAAAACUUUAAACAACAAUCUUGGACAUGAAAUUAUCUUGAAUUUGAAUAGAGAUCCAUUUUCAGACAAAAUACAAGCAUAUAUAUUAGGAGAAUUGCAGUCCCAUAGGGCAAUUAUCUCACCCGCGAGAUCAUGUUCCCAAGCUGAUGGUAGAAUUGUUCGUGAUAUAAACAUCUCGUUGCUCAUAAUAUACACUUAAACAGUACCAUUUUGAUUCAUAACAAGCCAAUUGAAACACUCCGAUGAUUUCUUCAUUCCUUAUGACACCAAACUCUCAGAUAAGUAAGACAAUCUUGAUAAUAAUGGUGAUGAGAUUAUAAUUAUGACAAUAACAAUACCAGCAAUAACAAGAAUCAGUGCUAUUAUGACGAGUUACGGAUAGAAUUCAAUUGAAUAUUUUUCCAUGACAAACGAAUUCUUUCCAACCAAUGGAACUUCACCAAUGAAACCAUUUCAGCUAGUUUACGGGCUCUUCCAAGUAGAAAACUGAUUUCAUUCUGUGACAAGCAAAUAGAACCAGCCUGCAACAGACAAAUCAUAAAUGAUGGCCACGCAAUAAGUUUAACAUGCUCCCAAAGUCAUUUUCCCAGCUGUCUCUGGCUCAUGUAGCUAAAAUCGUUGAUCAGUAUUAAAAUGUUUACCACUGUCUUUUACACGGAAAAGAAAAUAACUUCAUGCUCCAGCUUGAGACAGCUAGCUAACUAUACCAUGGGUGACACGCAUAUAAAACAUAGCAUCUAAAUAUAUCUUACCAGCACAUGCAAGGCCUUAAUACAACCAGUCACAUAUAACCAACAAGAGUCAAGUGGAAGGCAUCCUAUAUUUGGAAACUACAAC